UACGGAGGAGGCAAGCGUUUAUCCGGAAUUAUUGGGCGUAAAGCGUCCGCAGGUGGCACCUCAAGUCUGCUGUCAAAGACCGGGGCUUAACCCCAGAAAGGCAGUGGAAACUGAACAGCUAGAGUAUGGUAGGGGCAGAGGGAAUUCCUGGUGUAGCGGUGAAAUGCGUAGAGAUCAGGAAGAACAUCGGUGGCGAAGGCGCUCUGCUGGACCAUAACUGACACUCAGGGACGAAAGCUAGGGGAGCGAAGCAGG
rnacentral:rRNA from 1 species